GAUCAUGGCUCAGGAUGAACGCUAGCUACAGGCUUAACACAUGCAAGUCGAGGGGCAGCAUUUCAGUUUGCUUGCAAACUGGAGAUGGCGACCGGCGCACGGGUGAGUAACACGUAUCCAACCUGCCGAUAACUCGGGGAUAGCCUUUCGAAAGAAAGAUUAAUACCCGAUGGUAUAAUCAGACCGCAUGGUUUGAUUAUUAAAGAAUUUCGGUUAUCGAUGGGGAUGCGUUCCAUUAGGCAG
rnacentral:rRNA from 1 species